GAAAUGCGGGGGGCGGGACUUACACUGGAACAGUCACUUGUCCUUGCGGUCGGCCACAGCUGGGUUGAGAGUAGCGGUGGCGUCAGACUUUCUGAGACCCGGGAGGUGUCUGCGCAGCAGGAGCAGCCACCCGUACAGUGAAGCCAAUAACCCGGCAACCAGGGCUUUGCUUCUUCACUCUGGCUGGCCCCGCCCACCACACUCACAGUGGGCUGUGUGUAUCAUGUAUCAGCCCGGUCCUUCCUGCUGGUCCUGGAAGUGGCUUCCCUGGACUGCAUACUGUCCCGGGGCUGGCUCCCUGCUCUUUACAGGAGUGAGCAACAAACCAGGGAGGCUUCAUGCCCUUUCCCAAAAUGUUCACCAAGAUCUCUACUGCAUGUUCGGGAACCAUCUUGAGACUGUGUAGAGUGAUAUGGUGGGAGACAGAAGUCUCCUGCUUAGCUCAUAUGAGAGAUCCGGUUUUUACCUGCUCCACUCCAUCACCAGUGUAUAUACAGUAUAACAAUUCACCUGCCUUAACUGGCUGCAGCUGAAUUGCUAGACUAAAUUACUGCUGGAGUUGAACCGAAAACAGAAGCGAGGAUGAUGAUUCAAAAUAAUAUGUGUUGAAGCAGUAUUGCAGAUAAGGCAUACAGGGUAACUGAGGAAGCAAAAAAUGAAGAAACACACAAGCAGGUUACUUCACUUGGGCAAGGGUAACAGUCUCUGAAGAAUGGUGGAGAUGCAGUACAGGUUACUGGCUAUGGCAAGGAUUUAGGAACUGGACAAAGCAAACAGGAACUCAAAACUGCCUGAAAAACUGACUAUGAACAACAAAACUUAACACGAGCUGAAACAAAACUAUAGGAAAAGUAGAAGAAGAGUGACCGGGCGUGCAAACAGAUAGGCAGCAACCUUCUGGUCAAAAGGUAUCCCCAAUACCACAAUAAAAUAGAAACACGUGUAAGUUAGACCAGAUGCAGUGCGCUAAUCUUUUAACAGCAUAAAAAGUAGUACUUCCCUCAAUAUUCUUCUGUCGCAGGACUUUUGAAAGCUUCAAAUGAUAAGCUCCAUAUGUAGAAGAAAACGAUUUUUCCAAAAAUAGUGUAAUACAUUCAAACAAUUUAUUACAUCACAAUAAAAUAAAAUA